rnacentral:misc_RNA from 1 species
GGAAGAGCUACAAUAUCAGGAUUUUGUUUUUUAUAUUCAAUAGCAGGGCAGCUCUCUGACAUACAUCAAUAAAUCUUUACAUUAUCGAAAAAAAUGUCUGUUAUAUAUGUCAAGAAUGUACCCUUUGUUGCUCAUUUUCUUGAAGAUUUUUUUUUCCGUAAAAUUAUCAUACACAUAUACAAAGUAUAUACCAAUGUCUUGGUCUU